rnacentral:rRNA from 1 species
UACGAAGGGUGCAAGCGUUACUCGGAAUUACUGGGCGUAAAGGGUGCGUAGGUGGUUGUUUAAGUCUGUUGUGAAAGCCCCGGGCUCAACCUGGGAAUGGCAGUGGAUACUGGACAGCUAGAGUGCGGUAGAGGGUAGUGGAAUUCCCGGUGUAGCAGUGAAAUGCGUAGAGAUCGGGAGGAACACCAGUGGCGAAGGCGGCUACCUGGACCAGCACUGACACUGAAGCACGAAAGCGUGGGGAGCAAACAGG